GAGUAGGUUCAGUAAGACCCCUUUUUGGCCCCAAAAUUAAGCAGUUUUGCAAAAUUGUGAAAAUGUAAUCUUUUAGCUAUUUUUUGGAAAGUAGAAUGCUUCUGCUACAUAAAUAUGUGCUGUUUUUGACAAUACAAUGUACAUAUAUCGUGUACUAGCAUCAUAAAGUCAUGCUUAAUCACUGAAAUCUUCACAAUUAUAGCAUUUUAGUUAAAUUUUAGACGGUUUCCGUCUUAAAUGAAAGUGGCCGCAUUCGUGUUCAUUCAUAAUAUUGAAAUGUAAGUUGUAUUUGAUGAUAAAACAUAACAUAUAUAAAGGUUGAGGAUGAACACG
rnacentral:lncRNA from 1 species